UUGCAUGACUAUAGCUUUGAUAAUUUGUUAUAAAUGCUUCCGCUGCUUUCGUAUAUUAAAUUUGAUUUGGAUAUGCAUGAUAGUCAUUAUGAAAUCCCAUGCUAGAAUCUCAUUGAUUUCCCUUCAUUGCACUCAUUGCUGCACACACCACUCCCUUUUCUUUCCCUAGCUGUGCACUCCUUCUAUAAAAGGAAAUGUGUAUAACAGCCAUAGGGUUCAUUUUUUGUGAUCCAUCCUUCACCAUCAUUCAACACAACCAAAAACACAUCCAAACACUCUUUGCCGCAUCCAACCUUCAUCCAUACACAUCCAUUCAUCUUCUCAGCCAUUCUUCCAUACAAAUCAUCACCCAAACCUUACACCAAACCUUGUGCCGUGAGUAAAGAAAGAAGGGAGUACUCUUGGAUGUUCAAGCUUGAUUGUUGAAGCAUUCUAGGUGUAAUUCGUUCUAUAUUUACAAUGUUUGAAUUCUUUUUCUUUUGUUUUAUUGUGAACAUGAGUGGCUAAACCCUCUUGGGUAGGGGAUGAUUUCAAAGCCAUGAUUAUGUGUGCAAUAUGAGUUGAUAAAUUCCAGUUAUGAAUUCUUGAAUCGUGAAUGCAAUUAGCUUAAUUGUUUAAUUGAUAACUUAUUUAUGUUUGUUGAUUGAGGGUCGACACUUAAUUGGCUUGCAUAUAUCCGAUGCUAGAGUAUAAGGAAGUUUCACAUAAUCGUUACAAACUUAUAUUCAUAUGUAGUGAAGGUUGUUGAUCACGAUCGCGUUAAGUUUAAUUCCUAGCAUGAGUGACAUGAUGUCAUAGUUGCAAGUGCUUUGUCAAUGCUUAUGAUUUUCAUUGAACAUAAUGAUCUUUGAUCAUAUCUCUAUUAUGAUGUCAUGUAGGGAACUUGAUAGGAGCAUAUUUAUGCAACUUAGUGAGCUUGUUUCUUGGCAUUUACUUAGUUUAGUUCUAGUUAUUUUAGUACUUUAAGCUAUUUUCAUGUGUUUGUAGGUUCAAAUAACAAAGUUGG
rnacentral:lncRNA from 1 species